GUUCAAGGCCAGCCUGGUCUACAAAGCGAGUGCCUGGACAGCCAGGACUAUGCAGUGAAAUGCCUGUUUCAAAACCCCACAAACUAAAACUUCUAAAUCCAUUACCAAGAUCUUGCUUAUUUUUAUUACGGGUGUCUGGUAGAGGCAAGGUUUGCUCAACCAACCGUGUUCUCAGUAGAAGAGACACUAUUUUCUUCCUGUUUGUGGAGCACUGUAUUUCAAUGAGAGGGGGCUUUUAUCCAUUUUGAAUACUCCUGGUAAACAAGGAAAUAAAUCUUUUACACAGCAGGAGUUAUUCUUUAUGGUAGCCAGCUUUUAUACCCUCACCAUGAAUGAACCAGUUAUUUUCUUAUUCUGUACACAGAACCACAGCAUUAUUCCAUUACUGAUAAUCACUGUGGCUAAUCUUGGUGGAAACUGUUCUCAUUUUUCUUCAAAGGUAAGCAGUGUGACUAGAAUAGCUUGAGACCUAGACAGCAGCCCCAAAUUAGAAAGCUCUUCUAGAAGGUACUGCUGUGAAAUUACUCACCACAAACACCCACUUCCCAAUAUUUUUCCAACACCAACAACCAGUAGCCAAUGUACAAUGUGUGUAAUGUGAGCUGACAGAGAAUUGCACUUGUACUAAAACUGUAAUUUUUGCCUAAUUCUAAUUUAGUUUUAAAGGUUUGAAAAAGGAACAGAUGGGACUGGCAGAUGUAAUUAAGGGAGAAAGAUAUCCAUUGCUUUAGACUGUGUACAUAGCAGAAUCAUUUAACUAAAUUGUUGAGUACCAUUAAAGGCUAAUUUUUGGGAGGAAGCACCCUUAUUAUUUUUUUUUAAUAACUGUUAUGCUGGGAGUUUUGCCUGAUAAUUACCAAAAGCUGAGUUUUCAGAAACUGCUUUAAAGUCUGGACUCCAUUUGCUCCUUCCAAAAAUAAUGAAACAGCACCGCAAUAAGCACUCUGAUUUAUUUUUAAAAAGUUGUCCCACACAGCAUUCAAUUCCCUAUUUCCUACAGUACAAAUAGCAAUGGUAUCUUCAACAGUAGAUGAGAUUAUUUGAGAGCUUCUGAGAUAGGCUUUAAGAAUGUUAUACUGUUUGUAACUCAUUAUGGUAAGUGGUGUUGAUAUUCCACUUCUGGAAAUCCAGGGUUUGCUUGCAGGCAGUUCAUGAAGCACACUUUGCUCUGAUCUCCCGGACCAAAGGAAGCAUUCCCUCCUGCCUGAAGCACCUCAGAGAUGUUCAACACAAAUGCGCUAUCCAUUCUCGCUUCAUUCAGUGAUGAUUUCCCCUAUUUUCCUGUGGUUCUUCAGGCAGUGGCCAUGCAGGAAGCUGAGACCAGCAGGUGAGGCUGUCCAGAGCCCCAGAAACCAGAUUUGACAGCCAAAAAUUCCAACAGUGCAAACCAUAAAGGAAACCAAACUGCCAUGGUAGCAUGUGCAAAGGAAAAAGCAUGGGCUGUUGAGGGCUGUCACUUGGCAUUGGACAACCAAUUGGUAUGCCUUUUCUUGGGAAGACUGUUGCACAGAUCCUAAUUGGUCUUAAUAAAAACCCGGAGCCAGAUAACAGGGUGAAAGCUGAAAUUUCAGAGAAGCAGAGCAAG